UCCCUGAUGGCCUAGUGGUUAGGAUUUGGCACUUUCACUGCAGAGGCUGGGGUUCAAUUCCUUGUUGGGGAA
rnacentral:tRNA from 1 species